GUGAGGAAUUUUCCGCAAUGGGCGAAAGCCUGACGGAGCAAUGCCGCGUGAAGGAUGAAGGCCUAUGGGUUGUAAACUUCUUUUCUCAGAAAAGAAUUAUGACGGUAUCUGAGGAAUAAGCAUCGGCUAACUCUGUGCAAGCAGCCGCGGUAAGACAGAGGAUGCAAGCGUUAUCCGGAAUGAUUGGGCGUAAAGCGUCUGUAGGUUGUUUAAAAAGUAUUCUGUAAAAGAUUAGUGCUUAACCCUAGAUAGGAAGAAUAAACUUUUAAGCUAGAGUUUGGUAGAGGCAGAGGGAAUUCCCGGUGGAGCGGUGAAAUGCGUAGAUAUCGGGAGGAACACCAAAGGCGAAGGCACUCUGCUGGGCCAAUACUAACACUGAGAGACGAAAGCGAGGGGAGCAAAUGGGAUUAGAAACCCGAGUAGUCC
rnacentral:rRNA from 1 species